AGUCGAGCGGAUGAGAAGAGCUUGCUCUUCGAUUCAGCGGCGGACGGGUGAGUAAUGCCUAGGAAUCUGCCUGGUAGUGGGGGACAACGUUUCGAAAGGAACGCUAAUACCGCAUACGUCCUACGGGAGAAAGCAGGGGACCUUCGGGCCUUGCGCUAUCAGAUGAGCCUAGGUCGGAUUAGCUAGUUGGUGAGGUAAUGGCUCACCAAGGCGACGAUCCGUAACUGGUCUGAGAGGAUGAUCAGUCACACUGGAACUGAGACACGGUCCAGACUCCUACGGGAGGCAGCAGUGGGGAAUAUUGGACAAUGGGCGAAAGCCUGAUCCAGCCAUGCCGCGUGUGUGAAGAAGGUCUUCGGAUUGUAAAGCACUUUAAGUUGGGAGGAAGGGCAUUAACCUAAUACGUUAGUGUUUUGACGUUACCGACAGAAUAAGCACCGGCUAACUCUGUGCCAGCAGCCGCGGUAAUACAGAGGGUGCAAGCGUUAAUCGGAAUUACUGGGCGUAAAGCGCGCGUAGGUGGUUUGUUAAGUUGGAUGUGAAAGCCCCGGGCUCAACCUGGGAACUGCAUCCAAAACUGGCAAGCUAGAGUACGGUAGAGGGUGGUGGAAUUUCCUGUGUAGCGGUGAAAUGCGUAGAUAUAGGAAGGAACACCAGUGGCGAAGGCGACCACCUGGACUGAUACUGACACUGAGGUGCGAAAGC
rnacentral:rRNA from 1 species